UGGGAAUUUGGACAAUGGGCGAAAGCCUGAUCCAGCAAUGCCGCGUGUGUGAAGAAGGCCUUCGGGUUGUAAAGCACUUUUGCCCGGAAAGAAAUCCUUGGCUCUAAUACAGUCGGGGGAUGACGGUACCGGAAGAAUAAGCACCGGCUAACUACGUGCCAGCAGCCGCGGUAAUACGUAGGGUGCAAGCGUUAAUCGGAAUUACUGGGCGUAAAGCGUGCGCAGGCGGUUUGCUAAGACCGAUGUGAAAUCCCCGGGCUCAACCUGGGAACUGCAUUGGUGACUGGCAGGCUAGAGUAUGGCAGAGGGGGGUAGAAUUCCACGUGUAGCAGUGAAAUGCGUAGAGAUGUGGAGGAAUACCGAUGGCGAAGGCAGCCCCCUGGGCCAAUACUGACGCUCAUGCACGAAAGCGUGGGGAGCAAACAGGAUUAGAUACCCUGGUAGUCCACGCCCUAAACGAUGUCAACUAGUUGUUGGGGAUUCAUUUCCUUAGUAACGUAGCUAACGCGUGAAGUUGACCGCCUGGGGAGUACGGUCGCAAGAUUAAAACUCAAAGGAAUUGACGGGGUCAUAGCUGUUUCCU
rnacentral:rRNA from 1 species